rnacentral:rRNA from 1 species
UACGUAGGGUGCAAGCGUUAAUCGGAAUUACUGGGCGUAAAGCGUGCGCAGGCGGUUCGCUAAGACCGAUGUGAAAUCCCCGGGCUUAACCUGGGAACUGCAUUGGUGACUGGCGGGCUAGAGUAUGGCAGAGGGGGCUAGAAUUCCACGUGUAGCAGUGAAAUGCGUAGAGAUGUGGAGGAAUACCGAUGGCGAAGGCAGCCCCCUGGGCCAAUACUGACGCUCAUGCACGAAAGCGUGGGGAGCAAACAGG